UGCAGAAGAGCUGAUCAGCUACUUGAUUCUGCUCAGAAUAAGGCAAAGAGGAUCUUUAUGAAAGAGCCUGAGAGCUGGGAGUCCAACCAAAGAGCAAAAUUAGACCAGAAGGAAUAGGGAAUAGCUGGCACUAAGCCUGCCAGACCUGCCUAGAGCUUGGAGCAAUUGUCAUCCUGGCUAUCAAAUAGAAACCACAGCGCCUGAGUCAGAUCUUCAACUGAUGUACAUCAGCAAUGUCUCACUAAUGGAGCUAUCCCCUUUACUACAGCUGAAGUGGCCCUGAUGCCGAAGUGGUUAAACCUCACUGACAGCAAGUUGUGGCUUAAACAACCCAAAAUGAUCUCCAUUAAACACUUAUUUCUGAAGGGGAUGUUGCUGAAACCUGGGAAGGAGGCUUGCAAAUGUUUAACACACUUGUCUGUAGCAGUGGGCUUUGUUUGAAACCAGAUGCACGGAGAUACUUAGCAUUGCUACAUGUGGCAGGAGAGAAUGUGUGCCAAGGUUUGGUUCUCAUCACACCCAGCCUUAAAUUAGGAGUAACUUCAUUAAGUCAUUGGAAUUACACUGGCAUAAGUGAGAUGAGAGGUCGGGCCAAACUGUAUUAUUACUUCCAAUGGGAUUAAAAUAAUGAGGAGCUAAAACAUGUUAGAAGACUCGAGGGAGGAAAAAUGGUAAUACUACGUUCCCGGAAAUGAAACUGGCAUGGGAAAGGCCUGUGCUCUUCAGAAUUUACAAAGGGGUUGUAACAAUUGAUCAUCAUGGAGCUGGGUUAAGAGCCAAAGCAGCCGUCUGUGAGUUUGAACGAGUCUCGGGCAGUUCUAAUAAAAGGCAGAAUGGGCCAUGGGGGGGAAACAAAUGAAAGAAAAUAAGAGCUGGGCUGCAGGCCGGAAUU